UGACACUCAGCUUCGAAUGGGGAUUAUCUUUCCUAGAACUACUCUAACAUAGCACGCUUAAUCUUAUUAACCUCUUGGACUUAAACUACCAACCAAAAUAUUAUAACAAGAUUCAGAAGUUUAGCCCUAUUAUACUUUAUAUAUAGAACUAUUUCAAAUCCUGAAAGUGUCACAUGCUAAAACUUUUACUGACAUCUGUGAACAUUUUGCUUCGGAACAUGCGCUUAUGCAGAAACACAAAAACAAAUAAACUAC
rnacentral:lncRNA from 1 species